rnacentral:lncRNA from 10 species
UACCUGGACAGGUGAUUCCACCAAGCGUUGGAGAAAUUAGAGUCUUUGUGAUGCUUUGUGAUGUGCGUGUGAGGUUGUGUAGAUGGAAGGUAUUAGACAAACAUGCCCAUGAAACCCCAGCUUCCCUUUUCUAUGUGCUAGGCAUGGAAACUUAUGAAAUUUUAGCACUCCAAAGUCAUUUGGACUUCAAGGCAUUUAAAAUCAUUUUUCUAAGGAUUUAAACAGCUCCACUAUAAGUCUUCACCUGACAUGAAUUGGUGAGAGACCAGGCUGAUCCUGGCAAAGGUCUUGUGUCUUUCUGCCAGGCAAAAUCCUGGGUUCUUCUAGCAGGACCUAAGCCAGUCUGGGGACGCUGAUAUUGAGGAUGAGCUGGGGGACUCUGCUCUGUCCUCUGUGAACACACAGGAGGCCCAUCCAGAGUGAGUGAGGUUGAUUCUCUCUCCCUCUUUGCCCAGAGCUUCCCUUUCUGGCCGCCAGAUGGGUGGAGAUCUGUUUUGUCUGGAGUCCUGGAGUUGCUUUUCUUAGGUUUGAUAUAAGCAAGCUCCAGAAAGAAUGCUGACAGAAAAGGGACCCUAGCUGUGGUAGGAAGUGGCCCUCAGAGUCAAGGAGGCAGGAUGAAUUUAAAUUCUGCAUGUAGGGCAUAUUUUGGGGAGUGAUGGGAUUAUGCACACCCUUCAGGUGUCAAGAUAAAGAGAUAAAACCAGAGUUUGUGCAGAAUGAGCUUGCUGACACACAGCCUAAAUUUGUACCGCAUGUUUCAUACUAACUCCCUCUGAGUUUGCACAUGGGACCCAUGAGGAGGCAUGAAGAGGUAACUGCCCAUGCCCGAGGAUUUUCCAGCCCUUCCUUUUCUUUCUGUCAAUCACCUACUAAUCACAGAAUCCACUCCCUACACCUUUUCUACUAAAAUAACUCUUUAAAAUAAGUACAAUGGGACAGAUUUGAGCUGGGCUCCUGUCUCCUUGUUAAUCAAAUUGCAAUAAAAUGUUUUCUUUUGUUUUUGUUUU